UUUAAAGGAAUACAGAUUUCAGAAGUACAACUUCAGGAAUACAGUUAUUAUUAUCAUUCCCACCAUAGGGGAAUAUAAUUAUUAUUAUUCCCACCAUACUUGCCCUCCCACCCACACUCUCACCUCUCCUCCUCCUCCCUCUCCCCUUGCCAGUCCCAUUCUCCAUUAAGAUUCAUUUUCAAUUAACUUUGUACACAGAAGACCAACUCUAUACUAAGUAAAGAUUUCAACAAUUUGUAUGCACACACACACACACACACACAAACCUGAGAACUAGUUUACAGUUAACUCUCAUAAUACACCUCAUUAAGGACAGAGGCCUGCAUGGGGAGUUCGUGCACAGUGACUCCUGUUGUUAAUUUAACAGUUAACACUCUUAUGUAUGACGUCAGUGACCACCUGAGGCUCUUCUCAUGAACUACCAUGGCUAUGGAAGCUUUUUGAGUCCACAAACUCAGUCAGUAUUCAGACAAGGCCAUAGGCAAAGUAGAAGUUCUUUCCUCCCUUUAGAUAAAAGUACAUCCUUCUUUGAUGGCCACUUUUUUCCACUGGGGUCUCACUCACAGAGAUCCUUCAUGUAGAAAUUAUUUUGCCACAGUUUUUUGUCUUUUCAUGCCUGAAAUGCUUUCAUGGGCUUUUCAGCUAAAGCAGGAAGGAAGCUUUAAGGGCUGAUUCUGAGGUCAGAGUGUUACUUAAAGCGAUUGUCAUUUUAUGAGUCUACUGUGUGGACUGCUUCCCAUGUUGGAACACUCUCUCCUUUUUAUUUCUAUCUAUUAUUAUUAACAGACACUUAAUUCUAUUUAUAUGAUCACUUUGUCACUUAAUCCUAUCUAUAUGUUCACUACAACACUUAAUAUGAUCAUUUUAAUAAUAAAGAUGGCAUUUUUAUCAUGAAGCUUAAUGGGAUUUGGAGUCCCAUGACAAGUUUUUAAAUUAUACCCUUAAAAGUAAGUACACAGGGGGCCGGCGCCGCGGCUCAGUAGGCUAAUCCUCCGCCUUGCGGCGCCGGCACACCGGGUUCUAGUCCCGGUCGGGGCACCGGAUUCUGUCCCGGUUGCCCCUCUUCCAGGCCAGCUCUCUGCUGUGGCCAGGGAGUGCAGUGGAGGAUGGCCCAAGUGCUUGGACCCUGCACCCCAUGGGAGACCAGGAGAAGCACCUGGCUCCUGCCUUUGGAUAGGCGCAGUACACUGGCCGCGAUGGCCAUUGGAGGGUGAACCAACGGCAAAGGAAGACCUUUCUCUCUGUCUCUCUCAUUGUCCACUCUGCCUGUCAAAAAAAAAAAAAAAAAAGGUAAGUACAUAAGAAUGUAUGCAGAACUAUAUAGCUUUACAGUUACAAACUUCCUCCUCCCUCUCUUAUUCCCACUCAUUUUUUACUGACAUCUAUUUUCAAUGGACUUUAUACACAUAUGAUUAACUCUUUUAACUAAUAAGUUCAACAAAUGAUAUGAAGAAAAAAAAGGGAAAACAAACAAAAAGAAACUGUUUCUUGGCAGUUAAGUGUGGCUCAAGUCAUCCUUUCUCAAGUGUCAGUUUCACUUCAACUACAGAUUUCAUUUUAGGUGUUCUAUUAGUUCUCAUGGAUCAGGGAGAACAUAUGAUAUUUGUCCCUUUGGAACUGGCUUAUUUCACUAAGUAUGAUGUUUUCCAUCCAUUUUUUUUGCAAAUAACUGGAUUUCAUUUUUUUUUACUGCUGUGUAGUAUUCCAUAGUGUAUAUAAUCCAUAAUUUCUUUAUCUAGUCUUCUGUUGAUGGACACUUAGGUUGAUUCCAUGUCUUAACUAUUGUGAAUUGAGCUGCAAUAAACAUGGAGGUACAGAUAACUCUUUCGUUUACUGAUUUCAUUUCCCUUGGGUAAAUUUCAAGGAGUGGGAUGGCUGGAUCAUAUGGUAGGUCUAUAUUCAGAUUUUUGAGUUAUCUCCAUACUGUCUUGCAUAUUGCCUUUACCAGUUUACAUUCCCACCAACAGUGGUUAGGAUACCUUUUUCCCAAAAUCCUCUCCAACAUUUGUUGUUUGUUGAUUUUUGUAUGAAAGUCAUUCUAACUGGGGUUAGGUGAAACCUCAUUGUGGUUUUGACUUGCAUUUCCCUGACAGCUAGUGAUCCUGAACAUUUUUUCAUGUUUCUAUUGGCCAUUUGGAUUUCCUCCUCUGAAAAAUGUGUAUUUAAGUCCUUGGUCCAUCUCUUAACUGGGUUGUUUGUUUUGUUGUUGUGCAGGUUCUUGAUCUCUUUGUAUAUUUUGAUUAUUAAUCCUUUAUCAGUUGCACAGUUUGCAGAUAUUUUCUCCUAUUCUGUCGAUAGGCUCUUCACUUUCCUGAGUGUUUCUUUUGCCAUACAGAAACUUUUGAAUUUGAUGUAAUUCCAUUUGUGAAUUUUGGCUUUGAUUGCAUGUGCCUAUGGGGUCUAUUUUUUUUUUUUAAAGAAAUCUGCCUGUGCCAAUGUCUUGCCAAUGUCUUGUUUUCUCAAAUGUUCUCUAACAAUUUGAUGGUGUUGGAUCAUAGAUUUAGAUUUUUAAUCCAUUUUGAGUGGAUUUUUGUGUAAGAUGUAAGAUAGGGGUCUUGCUUCAUACUUCUGCAUGUGGAAACCCAGUUUUCCCAGCACCAUUUGUUGAAGAGACUGUCCUUGCUCCAAGAAUUGGUUUUAGCUCCUCGAUCAAAUAUAAGUUGGUUGUAGUUGCUUGGAUUAAUUUCUGGUGUUUCUAUUCUGUUCUAUUGGUCUGUGAAUUUAUUUUUAUACCAAUACCAGGCUGUUUUGAUUAUAACUGCACUGUAGUAUGUCUUGAAAUCUGGUAUUGUGGUGUCUCCAUCUUUGUUUCUGUUACAUAAGAUUGCUUUAGCUAUUCGAGUGCUUUCGGAAGAAUAGACAUUUUGAUGAUAUUGAUUAUUCCAAUUCAUGAACAUGGAAGAUUUUUCCAUUUUUUCGUGUCAUUCUAUUUCUUUUUUUUAAUGUUUUGUAGUUUUCAUUGUAGAUGAGAAUUCUCAUCAAAGAUGUCAUCAAGGAGAUCUUUGACAUCCUUGGUUAGAUUUAUUUCAAGGUAUUUGAUUUUUUUUGGCAACUAUUGUGAAUGGGACUAAUCUUAGAAGUUCAGUCUCAGCCUUGGCAUUUCUGUGUUACAAAGGCUGUUGUUUUUUGUGUGUUGACUUUAUAUCCUGCUACUAUACCAAACUCUUCUAUGAAUUCCAAUAGUUUCUUGGUGGAGUCUUUUGGAUCCCCUGUAUAUGGAAUCAUGUCAUCUGCAUAUAGGGAUAGUUUGACUUCCUCUUUCCCAAUUUGUAUCCCUUUGAUUUCUUUUUCUUGCCUAAUGGCUCUGGCUAAAAUUUCCAUGACUAUAUUGAAUAACAAUGGUGAGAGUGGGCAUCCUUGUCUGAUGCCACAUCUCAAGGGGAAUGCUUCUAACUUUUCCCCAUUCAAUAGGAUGCUGCCCAUUUGUUUGUCAUACAUGGCCUUCUAUACCCAAUUUGCUUAGAGUUUUCAUCAUUAAAGGGUGUUGUAUUUUAUUAAAUGCUUUCUCCACAUCUGUUGUGAUAAUCAUAUGGUUUUAGUUCUGCAGUUUGUUAAAGUGAUGUAUCCCAUUGAUUGAUUUGUAAAUGUUGAACCAUCCUUGCAUACACCCACUUGGUAUGGGUGGAUAAUAUUUCUGAUGUGUUCUUGGGUUUGAUUGGCUAGAAUUUUGUUGAGGAUUUUUGCAUCUAUGUUCAUCAGGGAAAUUGGAAUGUAAUUCGCUUUGUCUGUUGCAUCUUUUUCAAAUUUAGGAAUUAAGGUGAUGCUGGGGGUGGGGUGCGGUGCUGUGGCUCGCUUGGUUAAUUCUCUGCCUGCGGCACUGGCAUCCCAUAUGGGUGCCAGAUUCUAGUCCUGGUUGCUCCUCUUCCAGUCCAGCUCUCUGCUGUGGCCUGGGAAGGCAGUGAAGGAUGGCCCAAGUGCUUGGGCCCCUUCACCCGCAUGGGAGACCAGGAAGAAGCACCUGGCUCUUGGCUUCGGAUUGGCACAGCACUGGCUGUAGCGGCCAUCUGAGGAGUGAAUCAAUGGAAGGAAGACCUUUCUCUCUGUCUCUCUCUCUCACUGUCUAACUCUGUCAAAUAAAAAAAAAAAAAGGUGAUGCUGGCUUCAUAGAAAGAAUUUGGGAGGAUUCCCUCCCUUUUGAUUGGUUUGAAUAACUUGAGAAGAAUUAGAAUUAGUUCUUCUUUAAAUGUCUUGGAGAAUUCCGCAGGGAAGCGAUCCAGUCCUGGGCUUUUCUUUGUUGGGAGAGCCUUUAUUACUGAUUCAAAUUCCAUCUUGGUUACGGGUAUGUUUAGGUUUUCUAUAUCUAGUUUUUUUUUUUUUUUUUUUUUUUUUAAGGUAGAUUGUAUGUGCCCAGGAAUCUAUCCAUUUCUUCUAGGUUUCCCAGUUUUCGGCAUACAGCUCUUUGUAGUAAUUUCUGAUGAUUCUUUUUGUUUCUGUGAUGUCUGUUGUUACAUUUCCAUUGUCAUUUCUAAUUUUAUUGAUUUGGGUCUUCUCUCUCCUUUUUUUGGUUUCUUGGGCCAAUGGUAUGUCAAUUUUGUUUAUUUUAUCAAAAAAACAGCUUUUCAUUUUGCUGAUCUUUUGUAUUGUUUUUUUGGAUUCAGUUUUGUUGAUUCCUUCUAUAAUUUUAAUAAUUUCUUUUCUCCUAUUAGUUUAGGGUUUGGUUUGCUGUUGUUUUUCUAGAUCCUUGAGAUGCAUUGAGAGCUCAUUUAUUUGGUGCCUUUUCAAUUUGUUGAUGUAGGCACCGAUUGGUAUAGACUUUCCUCUUUUUUUUUUUAAUUUUUUUUUGACAUGCAGAGUGGACAGUGAGAGAGAGAGAAAGAGAGAAAGGUCUUCCUUUGCCGUUGGUUCACCCUCCAAUGGCUGCCACAGCUGCGCACCACGCUGAUCUGAUGGCAAGACCCAGCUACUUAUCCUGGUCUCCCAUGGGGUGCAGGGCCCAAGCACUUGGGCCAUCCUCCACUGCACUCCCUGGCCACAGCAGAGAGCUGGCCUGGAAGAGGGGCAACCGGGACAGAAUCCGGCACCCCUAGACUUUCCUCUUAACACCACUUUUGCUGUAUCCCAUAAAUCUUGAUAUGUGUGUGGUCAUCUUCAUUUGUUUCCAGAAAUUUUUUGAUUUCUCUUUUGAUUUCAGCUAUGAUCCACUGUUCAUUCAGGAGCAUAUUGUUCAGUCUCCAUGCAUCUGCAUAUGUUCUAGAGAUUCCUGAGUUGCUGAUUUCCAACUUCACUCUUUUGUGGUCUGAGAAGAUACAUGGUAGGAUUUCGAUUUUUUUUUUUUUAAUUUGCUGAGUGUGGGGAGCAACUCGGACUAGACUGUUACUGGAAUUAAGACUUAUUCUAUGCAUCUGCUCUCCCACAAUAUGGCGCUGGGAGAGGAGUAAACAGCUUCUACACAGCUGCCUCCAGUUCAACCAAUAAGCAGCAGGACCUGCUCCUGAUUGGAGGAGAGCAGCGUACUCGGCGUGUGGGUAGCAGAGUUGGGAUUGGUGGAAGAGGACUAUAAAGGAGGAGAGAGACAACAUGCACCAGGAACAUCUAUCUGAAGGAACACCUGUGCAGCCCCCGAGAGAGCCGGCCGGCGGUGUGCCGCUCCCCCGCGGAAGUGGGGAAAGUGGCAGGGGGAAGCGCCCUUCCACAGAGGUGGAAGGGUCGGUAGCCAACCCGGGAAGAACCAGCAGCAAACCCGGGGAGGGCUGAGCAGACAAAAGAACAGCGCAGGGUCCUGUGUCGUUCCUCCGCGAAGAGGGGGAGCGACAGCUGAGACUUGCUUUAUGGCCUAAUGUGUGGUCAAUCCUAGAGAAAGUUCCAUGCACUGGUGAGAAUGUAUAUUUUGCAACUGUAGGGUGAAAAGUUCUGUAGAUAUAUGUUAGGUCCAUUUGAUCUAUAGUGUCAAUUAAAUCUGCUGUUUCCUUGCUGAUUUUAUGUCUGGUUGAUCUGUCCAUUGCUGAAAGUGUGGUAUUGAAGUGCGCUAUUAUUUUGUAUUGGAGUCUAUGUCACCCUUUAGAUCCUUUAACAUUCCUUUUAAAUAGCCAGGUGCUCUGUAAUUAGGUGCAUAUACAUUUAUAAUAGUAACAUCUUCCUGUUAAUUGAUCCCUUAAUCAUUACAUAGUGCCAUUCCUUGUCUCUUUUAACAGUUUUUAUGUUAAAGUCUAUUUUGUCUGAUAUUAGGUUGGCUACAUCAGCUCUUUUUUGGUUUAUGUUGUCAUGAAAUAUCUUUUUCCAACCUUUCACUUUCAGUCUAUGUGCAUUUUUGUUGGUGAAAUGUGUUUCUUGUAAGCAGCAAUAGAUGGGUUUUGUAUUUUAAUCCAUUCAGCCAGUCUGUGUCUUUUAAUUGGAGAGUGGAGGCCAUUUACAUUCAAGUAACUAUUGAUAAGUAAUGACUUUUCCCUGCCAUUUUUUCAAAAAUAUUCCUAUUUUUUACUUUGAAUUUCUUUUGAACUUUUACUAGGAGAUUUUCUUUCUUUACCUUCUUUUAUACUGAUGACCAUGUUUCUGUGUUUCUGUGUACAGCGCAUUCUUAAGCAUUUUUUGUAUGGCUGGUUGGGUGGUGAUAAAUUCUUUCAUUUUCUGUUUGUUAUAGAAGGUCUUUAUUUCUGUUUCACCUAACUCAUAAAUGAGAACUUUGCAAGGUAUAGUAUUCUGGGUUGACAGUUUUUUUUUCUCUUAAGACUUAGAAUGUAUCUCACCAUUCUCCUAGCAUGUAGGGUUUCUGAUGAGAAGUCUGCUAUGAGUCUAAUUGGAGAUCCUCUGAAAAUAAUCUGGUGUUUUUUUUGUGCACAUUUUAGAAUCUUUAUAUUUUACUGUGGUGAUUUGAUUACAAUGUUUCAUAUUGAAAACCUUUCUGGUCAUGUCUAUUAAGAGUUCUAUAUGCUUUCUGUACAUGGAUGUCCUUUUCUUUCUCCAAAUUAGGGAAGUUUUCUGUUAUUUUUUCACUAAAAAGGCCUUCUAAUCCUUUGUCUCUUUCCAUGCCUUCAGGAACUCCUAGAACUCAUCUGUUGAGUUGUUUGAUAGUUGCCCUAGAUUCUCAAAAGUAUUUUUUAGUUUUCUUAUUUACUCUUCUUAUUUCUGGUUUGACUGUAUAAUUUCCUGUGCUUUGUCUUCUAAGUCGGGUCUUCUUUCUUUUGUUUCUCUAAUUCUUUUGUUAAGGCUUUGCACUGCAUUUUAUAUUUGUUCUAUUCAAUUUCUGUUUCAUUUUGAGUUCUCUUUAAGAUCUCAGUUUCAUGGGAGAAAUUUUGUUUCAUGUCCUGUACAGAUUUCAGUAGUUUAUGCAUUUGCUUCUGAUUACUUCUAUGUAAUCUUCUGAUUAAUUUUUUGAAUUUCAUUUCUUGCAUUUCUUCCAUCUCAUCAUCUUCACAAUCUAUUAUUGGAGUUUUGUAUUCUUUUUUUGGGUUAUAUUGUCUUCCUUAUUCUUGUUUCUUGAAUUGGUUCAUAUGUUGUUUGGCAUUUGUGGAGAUACUCAUUGGUUUCUUUGUUUUUUUUUUUUUUUUUUUGUUGUUGUUGUUGUUGUAGUUGUAGCAGCUUUUAUCUUUGUACUAUACCUCUGUAGAUAAGUGGAGUGUUUGCUUUCAGUGAAUAUCUAGGGGCUUGUAGUGGGUGUGGCCAGGGAGCUCUGUUCAGUUCUCUAGGGUAAAGGGUGUGACUAAGGUGACACAUCCAGGUUUGGGGUAGUAAAUGUCCUCUAUUUUUUUUUUUUUUAUCAGAAAGGAAGUUUAUUCUGCUCAGCUGAGCUCCUCUCCUCAAGGGAGACUAGUGCCUGAGCAGUAGCCCCAGUGGGUAUAAUAUUCAUCCACACAAAGGAUCUGUGCAGGCCUCAGUAUAAUCUCAGAUGUCCCAGCAAUGUCGCUUACCAGGUAACCAGGAAGCCCUGAGCAUGUGGAGUCUCCCACAGUGACUGCUCGUGUAGGUCCACAUGUCCUUCUAAUUUGCAUAGUUUCCUCUGCUGUUUUCUCCCUAACUCUUCCCUGAGACUGCACUCUUUCCACUUUUUAAAAACUAUCUUCUCCUAGAGCAGUAUGUUCCCUCCUUACUCCACCAUCUUUGAACUCCACCCUCAAUUACUUUUUAAAAAAAAUAUGAAUUAAUCAUUUAAUCCAUUCAAAAGGCAGAGGGACAGAAAAAGAGAGAGAGAGAGAUCUUCCAUUCAUUGGUUCACUUCCCAAAUUCCAUGUAUCAGGCAGGGCUGGGCCAGGUUGAAGCCAGGAUCUAGGAACUGCAUCUGGAUUUCCCAUGGAGUGGAAGCUGUCGGGGCCCAACUACUUGAACUAUCACCUGCUGCUUUCCCAGGCACAUUAGCAGAAAGCUUGAUUAGAAGCAAAACAGCCAGGACUCAAACUUUCACUCUGAUAUGGGUUACUGUUGUCACAAAAGGUGACUAAACACUCUGAGGAAUGAUGCCAACCUCUCAAGUUAUUUUUUGCUCAUAUCACAGGCCAAUGCUAUUCUAUGUUGUCAUUCAGGAUCCUUCUCCUUCAUCUGGUGCUCUCCACUUGUUCCUCCACAUCUGGGCAGCCAGUGGGAUCAGGGAAAGAGCAGAGCAGAGAGCAGAUUGUAGCCACAGAGACAUAGAGAUCAGGCAUGAAAGCAGUAUGCAUCAUUUCCCCGCACAAUCCACUGGCCAUAGUGCAGUAAUAUUGGCUCACUUAAGGAGGCUGAGAAAUUUCUAGUAUGUCUACUCUCCUAGGUGAAUAAUAGCAGUCUCUGCCAUGGACAGCAAUAGCUAUGUAAAAAAGAAAAUUUUCUGGAGAUAAGAAUGUCACAAUUCUGAAAUCUGUGAGCAAUUAAUCGGGGUUGCCAUUGUGCCUUGAUGAAUGGCAAGGGAUUUGGAAUCAGAAUGCUUACAUUUACAUUUGUCCUGGCUCAUCAAUUAUUAGUUAUGUGAUCCUGCCUAGUACACACUGUAAGCAGCAGUUUCCUUCAGUGUAAAAUAGGGAUAUUAAUAAUAUCUGUUUCACUUAUGUUUAGAUUGUUUUCAGGGUCAAAGAGUAGAUUAUUUUCAGGAUUAAAUGAAAGUAAAGAAAGAGUUUAUUAUACUCAGGGGGAUGCUGCACAAAUAUAAGUGUCCCUCUGCCUUGGUCUUGUUCCCAUUCUUUUGGCCAGGAUGAUGUGUCGCCUAGACCUAGCUAUCAGACCAAUAGAAAUGUAAUUGCCUCCAUUACUAGAAGACUGGACAUCACUUUCAGUCUUCCCUUAAGGAUUGAAUACUUAUGGUUUUUUUUUUAAUUUUUUAAUUUUUUUAUAUUUUGACAGGCAGAGUGGACAGUGAGAGAGAGAGACAGAGAGAAAGGUCUUCCUUUGCCGUUGGUUCACCCUCCAAUGGCCGGCGCGGCCGGCGCGCUGCGGUCGGUGCACCGCGCUGAUCCGAUGGCAGGAGCCAGGAGCCAGGUGCUUUUCCUGGUCUCCCAUGGGGUGCAGGGCCCAAGCACCUGGGCCAUCCUCCACUGCACUCCCUGGCCACAGCAGAGAGCUGGCCUGGAAGAGGGGCAACUGGGACAGAAUCCGGCGCCCCGACCGGGACUAGAACCCGGUGUGCCGGCGCCGCUAGGCGGAGGAUUAGCCUAGUGAGCCGCGGCGCCGGCCAUUCCCUAGGUUUUGGGGGGAAAAUCAGAUGGAAGGUAUCCCCUUCAAACCAGAGUUGUGGUACAGCAGGUAAAGCCCUAGCUUGUGGUACCAGCAUCCCAUACUGGAAUGCCAAUUCAAGUCCCAGUUGCUCCACUUCCAUUCCAGUUCUCUUCUAAAGUGCCUGGGAAAGCAGCAGAAAAUAAUCCAGGUACUUGGGCUCCUGCCACUCACAUGGAGACCAGGAAGUUGUUUGGGUCUUCUGGCUUCUGUUUGGUGCAGUUCCACUUUUGGUGGCCAUCUCAGGAAUGAACUAGUGAAUGGAAGAUCUCUUUCUCUGUCUCUCCCUCUUAUUGUCAUUCUGCCUUUCAAAUAAAUAAAAUAAAUAUUAUUUUAAAAAGGCAGUCAGAAGGUUAAGGCAGAAGAGUCUGAAGCAGAAUGCAACAGGCCUGUGCCCUUGGAGAUGCCAGAUAGGCCAAAAGUUCCCAUCCCCCUGUGAUGAGAAUAUAAGUGGCCUUUGUAGUUUACUAUUUUUAACAUGUAAAAUUAAUAACUAUUGCAGUUGUGAAUCAUGCAUUCUAACUUUCUUUUCUUAUAUCUAGAUGUGAAAUUACCCCCAAAGUCUUUGGAGUUAUCCAUGUGAUGUUAAAAACCAUCCUCCUGAGAACUGAGCAGGAAGGAGAUGUUUCAGCCAUGGAUGUCAUAGUGGCAGUUUCUAAGCAUCAAAGAAUGCUCCAUUGGAAGCCAGUGGUGGUGGAACCUGAUGGGCAGAGUGACAUCACCUGACACUCCUCAGUAAGGCCCUCUGAGUUGUGUCAGUGUCUGUUGAUUUGUUAGUAUCUAGACCCAACCUUGGCAUGAUGUCAACUAUGUGAUGUCAGUACGUUUCAGAAACUUCCUCUCCCAACCUGGAUCACCCUUAGGGAUAAGGAGAAAGGAAAGGGAAGACAGCAACCUCAAAUAAUUGCUGGUUCCCUCCUAAGGAGGCUAUAAUAAACCAAAAGUAACUAAGUUUACUUUGAUUGUAAGCUUAAGUUGACUAGCAGUCUGUGAACUAAUUUAAAAUCGUUUACAUAGACUUAAAAGAAACGAGUUCCAUUUUUCUCAAACAUGUAAAAUUCAUAACUGCUUCAAUGUGAAUCAUUGCAUUUGAGCUCUCACUUCUUGUGUCUUGGUGUCAGAUGUGUCCCAAGGCCUCCAAAGCUAUCAGUCAUUUUCUUGGGAAGGUCUAAAGGGAAACAUGUUCUUUUGCAACUUCAGCAGGUUGAAAGAAGGGCCCAGUGGUGGUGUGUUACCACAGUGAGGUCUGACUUAUAAGCAAGCAAUAAAAAUGUUUAUCUUUCUACUUUUUAGAGGUUGAGAAAAGUGCUCAGGCAAACCCAUGGCAGAUCAAAGGCUGAAUGAUAUGUUUCUCUCUUUCACAUGGGUUAAAAUCAAGAGACCUUGAUUUCAAAUGCAAGAAAUAGCAAAUGGAAGAAGAGUAAAAACAAAAACAAUGGAAAGGAAAUGAACCGAUAUUCAUAGCUUACCACUGAGUUUUUCAAAGAGGCUGAAAUAGUCUUCUAGGACAGGGGUUUAACAAUGUGUCUAGGCAUGAAUUCUUAGAAAUUUUAAGAAAUAUUUUUGUUCUUUGUACGAAAGCAGCAGAUAAAUUCAUAAGGCUUUAUGGUGUGAUUUUCAUGGAAAAAUUCUUACUCCUUGAAAAGACUUUCUUUGCCUAGAUAGACUAAGGGUGGAGUCACUAGAUUUCUCUGGUUAGGGAUGCGGAGACAUGGUCAAUCAAGCCAGACUUAAUGUCCAACAGGAAAAGAAUGACUGUCUUCUGUAGAAGCAGUGUGAACGCUGCUAGCUAUUAGCAUGAAUGAUUGAGGAGAAUGAUGGAGUCCCCUUUUCAGGAUGUUACAAAAAUCAAGACAUUUUCAUUGAUCGAUUUGUGUUUUAGACAACUUCAGGAUGAGAGAGAUUUGCAUCUUCUCCCUCUUUUUUUUUUUUUUUUUGGUUAUUUGAGCCAAUGGUAUGUCAGUUUUGUUUAUUUUUUCAAAAACCAGUUCUUCAUUUCACUGAUCUUUUGUAUUUUUUGUUUCAAUUUUGUUUAUUUCUUCUCUAAUUUUAAUUAUUUCUUUCUUCCUACUAAUUUUGGGUUUGGUUUGUUGUUGUUUUUCUAGCUCCUUGAGAUGCAUUGAUAGCUCAUUUAUUUGAUACCUUUCCAAUUUCUUCAUGUAGGCACUGAUUGUUAUUAACUUCCCUUAACACUAGUUUUGCUGUCUCCAAUAAUUUUUGAUGUGCUCUAUUGUCAUCUUCAUUUGUUUCCAGAAAUUUUUUGAUUUCUCUUUUGAUUUCUUCUGUGACCCACUGUUCAUUCAGGAGCAUGUUGUUUAGUCUCCAUGUAUUUGCGUAUGAUCUGGAGAUUCUUGAGUUGUUGAGUUCUAGCUUCAUUACAUUGUGGUCAGAGAAGAUGCGUGGUAAAAUUUCAUUUUUUUUGAAUUUCUUGAGACUUGCUUUAUGGCCUAGCAUAUGGUCUAUCAUAGAGAAAGUUCCAUGCACUGAUGAUAAGAAUGCAUAUUAUGCAACUGUGGGGUGAAAAGUUCUGUAGAAGUGAGGUCCAUUUGAUCCAUAAUGUUGAUUAGCUCUGUUGUUUCUUUGUUGAUUUUUUUUCCGGUUGAUCUGUCCAUUGAUGAUAGUGUGGCACUGAAGUUCCCCAUUUCUAUUGUAUUCUUUUAAAUAGCCAGGUGCCCAGUAAUUAGGUGCAUAUACACUUAUUGUCACAUCUUCCUGUUGAGUUGAUACCUUACUCAUUACCUAGUGCCUUCUUUGUAGCUUUUAAUGGCUUUUAUGUUAAAAUCAAUUGUCUCAUAUUAGGAUACAUUUGCCUUUUUUUGCUUUUCAUUAGCAUGGAAUUCCUUUUUCCAUCCUUUCACUUUUGGUCUGCGUGUAUCUUUGUUGGUGAGAUGUGUUUCUUUUAGGCAACAAAUAGAUGGGGCUUUUUAAAUUAUUAUUAUUUGACAGGAAAAGUUAUAGACAGUGAGAGAGAGAGACAGAGAGAAAGGUCUUUCUUCCGUUGGUUCACUCCCCAAAUGGCCUCCACGGCCGGUGCUGCGCUGAUCCAAAGCCAGGAACCAGGUGCUUCUUCCUGAUCUCGAUGGGGCUUGUUUUUUAAUCCAUUCAGCCAGUCUAUAUCUUUUAACUGGAGAGUUGAGGCCAUUUACAUUCAAGCUAACUAUUGAUAAGUAGUGACUUUUCCCUGCCAUUUUUCCAAAAAUAUCCCUUUUUUUUUACUUUGAAUUUCCUUUGAACUUUUCCUUGGAGAUUUUCUUCCUUUACCCUCUUUUGUAGUGAUGACCAUGUUUCUUUGUUUCUGUGUGCAGCACAUCCUUAAGCAUCUUUUGUAUGGCUGGAUGGGUGGUGACGAUUUCUGUUUAUUAUGGAAGGUCUUUAUUUCACCUUCAUUCAUAAAUGAGAGCUUUGUAGGGUAUAGUAUUAUGGGUUGACAGUUUUUUUUUCUCUUAAGACUUAGAAUGUAUCUCACUGUUCUCUCCUAGUUUGUAGGGUUUCUGAUGAGAAGUCUACUGUGAGUCUAAUUGGAGAUCCUCUGAAAGUAAUCUGGUGUUUCUCUCAGGCACAUUUUAGAAUCUUUUCUGUGUAUUUUACUGUGGUGAGUUUGAUUACAAUGUGUCAUGGUGAAGAUCAUUCCUGAUUGUAUAUAUUAGGAGUUCUUUGUGGUUCAGGUGCCUCACUGUCCUAUAUGGUUGCCCUGCCACCUCCCAGCCAGACCCAGAGUCAGUGGGGACUACAGAUUGUUUCCUCCUCUAGGAACUUUGGAUCACACACGUACGUAAGAGCCGGUGGCUGAAUAUUGCUUUCUCCCCUCCACUGCUGCCAGUAUGGCCAAGAAGAUGGAAGCCUGUCUCAGCCAGUUGCUGUGCAUGUGCACAAAGUCUUCUGCAGCUCCUGCCCAAACGCAAAAUGGUGCCCACCCUUUUUUAGCUGGGCAGUGGGCACUGUUGUGUGGCAGUUGGGGCACAACAAACAUGCCCCUUCUACUUCCACUGCAUCUGUGGGCAACCACUAGCAACCACUAGUUCCCAGGGCUCCAGUCUAGACUCACACCAUGCUCUCCCUCCGGCUAUAUCACCACAGGUUUCUGCAUUCCAGUCUCACCUCCAUCUUCAAGCUGCUGCCUGCUCAGGCUCUCAGCUGCUGCAGUUGUGUGGUAUGUUCAAGUCUAUGCUGUGUGUCCACACCCUACACACAGGCCCACAGUGUUCCUCUUUCUCUUGUAGAAUUUCCAGUGUGGUUUUCUCUCCAAUUCUCCCCUGAGAGUGCACUUCCUAUACUUUUUUUUUUUUAAUUGUUUAUCCCUAGCUUAGCACGGUAUGUCAUUUUCUAAUCUGCCGUCUUAGAAUCCUUAAAUUUUUCACUUUAAAUAGUGGAUAUCAAAAAAGAGGAAGGGAGGGGCUGGUGCUGUCCAGCAGGUUAAAGCCUGGGCCUGCAGUGAUGGCAUCCCAUAUGGGCACCGGUUUGAGUCCCGGCUGCUCCAUUUCCAAUCAGCUCCCUGCUAAUAUGCCUGAGAAAAACAGCAGAGGAUGGCCGAAGUCUUUGGGCCCCUGCACCUGGGAGUGUGGGAGACCCAAAAGAAGUUCCUGACUCCUGGCUUCAGAUUCGCUCAGCUCUGGCCAUUGUGGCCAUUUGGGGAGUGAACCAGCAGAUGGAGACCUCUGUCUCUCUCUGUCUGUCCCUCUCUUUCUAAUUCUGUCUUUCAAAUAAACAAAUCUUUUAUUUUUUUUAAAGAAGUAGGAAUGGUAAACCUGGGGGAUAUAACUUACAUGAGGAAAAAGAGAGGAUCUCACUGGUCUCUUAAUACCCAUUUUGAUUUUAAGAAUCAAUAUAUUUUCUGAAAAUUCCACUGGAUGAUAUUCCAUUGGAUUUCUACAAAGUAUAAUCAAAUGAAUCUAAUAAAGAUAUUUAUCACAGUCUUGGAAUUUUUCAGAUUUCCUGGACUAAAAAAGUGCUUCUGAAAUUAUUGUUCAUGUGUUAUCUCUGGGUCUUGGGAUGAUUUGUUUGUAACUCAUAUAGGACCAGGGCCACCUCUGGGAUGCACAGAACCCUGGGGAUUUUUUUGUUUGUUUGUUUGUUUGUGUAGUUUUGCUUCCAGGACCCUGUCUAUUAUAAAAAAUUCAAUUAAAAUAUAAAAUUUACAGUCCCUAUGAAGUAUGGUCAUUUAUCAGUGAAUAUUUAGGAUAAUGGAUAAAAAAGUGAUAUUGUUGUAGUUGUUUAUUAUCAGAUCAGUGCAUCUGAAGAUUUUCCAUGAUAUCUAGGCAGCACCACUUCCUAUUUAGGUUCAGGAACCACUUCUCUGUGUUCUUUAUGGUCAAAUGUACCAUGACUGGCUAACUUCCUAUCUCCUACCAUGGGAAAGAGGUGUGAAAUAUGGUAGUAGUCACAGUGCUGUAGCUCUUGGGAGCCUCUUCAUAUUGAAUCAGUAUAGAUAGAUCUUGUUGCCUCUUCAGCUCCCUACUAAUAGUUUCUCUAGUGCUGGCCACCAUUAUACAUUGUCCUCCAAUGAGUCUCUCAAGGAUUUUUACUGUUCUUCUUUGCUGAUAACCAGGAAUAUACUUCUUACUUGUGUGCCAGGAAUUGGAAACAAUAACUCAUUUUCUGGUCAUGUUAAAUUUCCUAUUUGCAGCUUGAUAGUGUAAAUGCAGAAUGACAUGUUUUUAACUAUGUCUUCUCUUAAGUGCUUUGGACUACAAUAAUUAUGCCCUUCAUGAUAUUUUUCAAUGUUGAUGAUUAGAGUGAGUCCUACAGACCCAUCAAGAAAAGCAGUACCAUUACCAUAAAAAGACCCAUCUGGAAAAAUGUAAUUAUCACUACAUUGAUCAGAUGAAGGGACAUUGAUUAUAUGAUUGCAUUUAGAACAAUACUGUCCAAAGACCUCAGAAAUGGAUAAAGCUACCUCUGACCAUCUGACAUGUGCAAAGAACCUGUGAAGAUUGAUAACAGAAACAGAGAAUGAAGAUUAGAGAAAUUUGUUGAUUUCCUGAAAGCCACACAGUUUUGGAAGAAGGAAACUUGGUUGUUUCGAGAUUUUGCCAGUUAUCAGUAAAGCUCCUAAAAACAACCCUGUAUACACACUAAGGAGUAGGAUUCAUCGCUGGAUCAUAUGGCAACUUCCCUGUAUGGACUGCAUCAGUGGAUGACCUUCCCCUCACCUUGGAAGGUCAGAAUUCCAACUGAUGGAGUUAUGCCUUCACUGACCCUCCAAAUGCCUUAACGAUGUCUAGGAAAGCUCACAGCUCACCACAUGAUUUGGGAUCAAGGACACCAGCAGUUGUGAACAAAAUACUAACAGGCCAAGACUUACUGCUGUACAGAAUUCUGCAAUUGGAGUUUGACCUUCCCUACAUGUCUAUCAACAUAUUUUUGGGGAUGAUACUUAUUUAUGGAUCAUGGAAACUGUUUUAAAGACUUUAAUGAGCACUUAAAUUCAGGAGCACUUGCAUUUUUGUAAAGAAGUUGUCUAGGUGCUGAUGUCAAGGAGGCUGGGUCCAGGUUUUUAUCUUUGAUGAAAGAAAAGAAUUUGAUGAUGAGACGUGAGUAAAGGUCAGCAGAGAAGCCAGACGUACUUACAUGCAAAGCAGAGUCAAAAUACACGCUCAGGAGGAUACAGGCAUGCUCCAGAGAAAGGGACACAGCAAUUUUCUGGUCCCACGUGCUCUGUGAGCACCUUGCCACUCUCUCUUCAGUGUUGGAGUCUAUUUCCCGUUCCUUUGAUUGCAGUGGGAUUUUGUGACUGCCUUGAUGAAUGGAACAAGCAGAAGAUUUCUGUUUCAUGGUGGAAGGUGAUGAGGGUCCACCUACUUUUCUGUUUGUGUACACACACACAACUAUGGGAGCCCUGUCCUGAAGCUGUCACACUGCAGAGAUCACGUGAAGAGACAAUACAGGAAUACAGAGAGAAAGCCAAGGAGCCUCAGCUAUUCAACUCAUCCCAGCAGGCCCUCUCCGGAUAUGAAAGGAAACUUUCAUGUUCUGAAUUGCACAUUCUGGCAGGUCUGGUUCUGAGUCUGCUACUGAGAGGAACUAAAAAUGACCUUGAAUUGAAACUCCUACAUAGGAAGAUGCCAUGAUGAGCUCAGAGAGACCACAGCCCCAAUCUGCAAGGACUUUCAGCACAUUGUCAUGGUUGCUUCCAGUUGGCUGGGCAGGAUGCUGGUUACGUGGUUUCUGGUUCCAGUGAACUACUUGACAACAAUGACAGCUUGGGUUUUCCUCUCUGCAGGAAGAAGAGGCUGGAAGGCAAGAUGGCUCUCCCAAAGGAGAGUCUCUUUUAUCCAUGGCUUCCUUAGCUGUGCUGACUUUGUGGAAGCAGAAACCCAGUUAAGAGGAAUGUAGGGAGAGGUUUUCUUCAGCAAACACCAAUGUCAACCAAGCCUUUACCUCUGUGACCUCCUCUUCUGCUAUUCUCCCUCUUUUCUCUGAUACAGACACACUGACGUUUUUACUAUUCCUGGAACAUCAAGACAUACUCUUGCCUCAGAGCCUUUGCACAUUCGUAUUCUCUCUCUCUCUCUCUUCCUCUCUCUCUCUCGCUGUCGCUCUCACUCUCUCUCUCUGCCUAGAACUAAAUACUCCAAUGAAUUAUGUGACUUGCUUCCACUUCUCUCUCACAUCUUUCCUCAAAUGUUCCCUUUCUAUCCUAGUUGUGUGUUCUGGAAACUUUUGUAUUCUGAACUGCAUUCCCCUCAAAACACACACAUAUACACGUUCCCUCCUCCCUUCCCUGCUGAAUUUUCUCGUUUGCACAUUCCCCCAGGUCAUUUACUACACAUUUUACUGACUUAUUUUUGAUGUCUCCCCUAGUUAAGUAUAGGCUCCAUGAAGGCAAGGAUGAUUAUAUUCCAGAUCCUAGAAUACCACGUAGCCAGCAUUCAUGAAAACAUGAUGAAUGAAUAAACAAAAAUAUUAAUGGACCCUCGCUCUGCCAUUCAUUAACAGGCAGCCUUUUGCAAACAUUUUCUAACUUUUUUCUAGCCAUAUUUUUGCACUGUAAAAUUAAGAUGAUAAUCUCUACUUACCUGUUGUGAGUUCUCAACAAGAUUACAAAAGCACACACUCAGCAUAGCAUUUAUUUAGCAUGAACUCAGGGUUGGUUCAAUGACUGACUUUGCAAGUUCAAUGAAACAAAUACAAAUAAUAGUAACAAGCAUUUUUGGGGUGUUUCUUGUGGGCCAGGUGCUGCUGUAAGCUUUUACAGUCAUCAACACAUGUAAGCCUUAUAAUACCCUAUAAGGGAUGCACCAUCCUCUGCCUCCUCCUUGCAUUAGAAAUAAAGAAAGUUCGGGAGUAAAUAGCUGGAGGCCACAUAAUUGUGACUCUCAGAACCUGCAUUUGUGCUCAGCCCCCUCGGUCACCAAAGUCCUUCCCUUAGCCACUUCAUUGUCUUGCUUCUCUAGAGUAAGAGGGCACAAUUUAUACAAUACAGGCAUAGGAAAUCCUUUCAAGUAGUAAACUCUCCUCUCUACAUAUUUUAGUGUUCAAACAUAUACGAUUUCUUCAUGGAUCAGGUAUGAUGAUAAUUCAAUCUCUAAGUUAACUGAAAUAUUUAGGUAGAAGCUAUGAAUUUGCUUCAGCCAUGAAAUACUAUCCUUGAGGAAUUAUUUGGAAAUUGUUUUACUUAGACACAUGUCAUAGGAACAUUUAUGUGUCUGUGUGUAAGUGUACACACACAUAUACAAACGCAUACAUACACACAUAUUUUAUAGCAGAUAGCAGAGUCAUUUAGUGGUUCAAGCUGAGUGGAAACAAAAACCAAGGCCAUAUAGACAGACUUGACCCCAGCACCUGCUUUUGACGCUGUUUCCAAUAUUGUUAUCCUGUUUUUCUUGCGAAUUGUCUUUAAUCAUGUGUGAUUCCUGUGCAUCUAGCAUAUCCCAUAACCAGUCAUUCAUAGGCUAUUUUAAGUUUUGUCAUUAGAGUGCUGGGUUUUAUUCAUGACAGUGAGGCCCAGGCAUCUCCAUUUGUGACAAUGGUUCUACAAGUUGCUGCAUACCCAACAGGGAGGCACACUUUCCAAAUCAUCUUUACAGCUUUUCAGUUCCCUUUUUUCUUUCUUGGUUUCUAUUGUCUUUCAAAUAAUGACUGAGACACUGCUGGGUUUUUUUUGCUUCUUGUGAUUUCUCCAGAAGGCCUUACAUACAGGAGUUCAGUUGGUACCAGGUUUAAUUUCCUAUUGGUUUUAAUCUGGCUUUUUAUUUAUUUAUUUAUUUAUUUUGGCAAAACACAGAAAACUAUUCCAGCCAGCUUGAGACACAAGGCUUUAGCAUGUUGACCACGUCACAUUAUUUUUAAAUGAUAAAGGAAUGCUCACAGGAAUCCAGCAGUUGGAGCUAUAUUAAGUCUUGGCCUAAAGGAGCCCAGAGCUUAAAGGCAAUUCUAGACUCAAGGAGGCUCCUAGACCUUCAGUACCAGGAGUCUGUGAAUCUCUGAUUUCCAUGAUUAAGCCACACAUGAUAUAUCUUCUUCUGGUCCUGGUGCAAACUGAUAGCUAAUUGUUUGCUUCAAGUUUAGGAACCUAAGAGAGAAUCUAAUUGACCCCAUCCUUCUUUCAGAGUAGACUGUACUUCCUGAAGCUGCCUGUGGGUCUUCUUGCCAUUGGCACAGGUGCAUAAUGGACCAAGGCCAAUCAUCUGUAGACAGAAAGGGUGGGAUGCUAGCUUCUACACAUGGCUUCUUGGGCCUGUCCCUAGGGCAGACAGUGUGGGCAGGGUAGAUCCCCUCCAAAGAGGCUGUGGCUAGAUUGGCACAGUGUUGACCUUUCCAGAAUACCACCCUGUAAGACACUGAAAUUGUUAGCCAUGUUAUACAGUCAUAUCAAGGUGAAAUAACGUAAUAUUGACAAAGACACAAAUGCAACUCGGAUAUCUACAAAGCCACAUGCAUUUAUCUUUGCAAUUUGCAUGCUUAAAAUACUGAGAAGUGUCAUUAUUUCUUUGUGAAAUACUUUAUUUAAAAAUAUUUGUUUAUUUACAUGAUAAGUACUUUGAUAAAUAGCCAUCAAAGCCCUGUGACUUUUCUCAGUCAGGGCGGGCCUGCCAUUACAAUUCCAGCUGAUGCCAUCCAUAGAGUUCAAUGUGAUAACUGAACUGAAGCUGCAGUAGCCUUUUCAGCCACUUAUUGAGGUUUUGCUGGGAGUGAUCUGGUCAAAACCUAUCGGUUUGUUAUUACAGUCGACUAAAUAUCUGCAAGGACAUGGGCUAUAGCUGUAAACAAAGGCAGAGGUUCUUUGUGUCAAACAUAGGGUGCCCAUGAUGCUGGCUAUCACUCCUCUGAGAACUGGUCCACAUCUACUCAGGAACCGUGAACAACAAGCGGCAUAUUAUAGGGAUGUUUUGGUUGAGGUAAGAAACUUAACGGAGCAUGGGUUUAGUUCCAGGUCUGGUGUAUUGCUGCAGUGGGUGGGAAAACAGUGUUAGUUGUGGUGGUAGUGGGUGGCUGGUACAAAGGCAGAAAGCAUUACAAACUCAGCCUGCAUUACAGUUUUGAUGAAUGACCCUUCCCCCUCAAACACACAUAAAGACCAAAUUUGCAUUCAAAGUAAGUGUCUUCAGACAAAUUGUGUAAAUUGCACUGUCUUGUCUUGACUCUGCAACAGAAACCAGCCUUUUGCUGCUGUAAGCCCCCAACCUCCUACCUGUACUGUAACACAUCACUUUCUAUGUAUAUUAAAAAAAAUCUUCACCUGAUUUUCCCCCUCCCUGGAAUGAAAUUUUUUUAAAGACAGAAUCAAUGUUUGAAUCUAUCCUGGUAUUCCUUCCACAACUUGGAACAUGCCAAGCCUUUAAUAAAAAUUUCUUAGAUGAAUGAGAGUAAAAAUAUAGAUUGCCCUUUGAGUCACCAAAUUGACUGUGAUCCAUGCUGGUCCUUCUGCACAGUGACAAUAUUUGGCACAGAAGGAAUGUCUGAGAGGGAUCAUUGCUAAUUGAACCUAAUUUCCAUGUCAGAUGUAUUUUAAAUUUUCACAUGUCUGAUGUAGGCACUGUGGAAACACCAUCAAUAUAUCUUUUUUUUUUUAAGAUUUAUUUAUUUGAGAGCCAGAGUUACAGACACAGAGAAAGAAAGAGAGAAAGGUCUUCCAUCCACUGGUUAACUCCCCAAAUGGCCGCAAUAACUGGAGCUGAACCAAUCCGAAGUCAGGAGCCAGGAGCUUCUUCUGGGUCUCAACGUGGAUGCAGGGACCCAAGCACUUGGGCCAUCUUCACUGUUUUCCCAGGUCAUAAACAGAGCUGGAUCAGAAGAGGAGCAGCUGAGACACGAACCAGUACCUAUAUGGGAUGCCAGCACCACUGGUGGAGGCUUGACCUACUACACCACAAAGCUGGCCCUGUAUAUCUUGUAAUAUGUGGAAGAGUAUACAGAAACCAUUGAUUAACAAAACAAAGACAGAACUUUUUAAGGCAGAUCAGGAGGGUUCUUUGAGUACAGAGAAGGGCAAGGAGGAGGGGGAAAAUCUAGCCUUCGUUGACAGUUUACCAUGCACGGAGCCUUGUCGCAAGUAUUUUGCAUUAACUUAUCUAAGACCAUAGCACUAUGGGGAAGGUACUGCUAUCACGUUUCACAGGUAAGUGCGGUGCAAAGCAAAGAAGGUUUACUUUCGGCCCACAUAGUUUGAUUUGCUGGACUCCUGGGAUAGGCUUCUCUUUCGAUCUUUCUCCUUCCCUGUCUGUUUUCUUGUUCUCUCAGGAGAUGGUCAAAGAUGUGGCAGUGAUUGUGAUUUCAUCUAGGGAGACCAUGCUGGCUCUUUACUGACUUCUCUGCAGUAAGCCUAGCUGUUUGAUAUUCUUAAAAGUAGAAUCUGAGUAAGAUGGACAAAUGCAUUUGUUACUGAUAUUUAGUGCUUUUAAGAGCAUAAUAUUGGUGAAAUAUUUUUCAAAACACAAUCAGACCCUCCUUCACAGGUAUGAGAAUGGGAAAAGAUAUAAAGUGAGAGAAGAAGUCAGACAUCCCAUCCUGUCACAGCUGUCUGCACGACCCUCCAGCAAUCACUGUGUUUGCAUGGGGGGAUCCAUUUUCCAGUUCACUUUCUAGAACCUGCUCUGAUGUUCAAAGACACCACGCUAAAUUCUCUAAUGAUCUGUGGUUAAAUAGUUCCACAUCCCAGGAGGGUCCCUUUACUACCAUCUAUGUUGACAUUUGGGGUUGACUACAGAGAACACCUUCAUACAAGCUGGAGGCUGUGCCUAAGACAAAGAAACUAAGUCAAUGGCAGGAAGGUUUGAAUUGUUCCUAACAGACUGAAACAAGUCACUCUUACAGGAACUUAGGUAAUGUCUGUCCAAACUGCCCAGAGAAGAGUAGAGAUUACAUAAUUUCUGCAGAUAGUUUUCAUAUACUCAGCCAAAGUGGAUAAUUGAAGUGGCAUCCAGACUUCUAGUUUAGCAAUGUGAAUAUUCCAUAAUAAUGCAACUUUGUUCCUACAUGUAGAUGCUUGGAAAAGCCUGGCAUAUAUGGACACUCAAUAAAUAUUUGUGAAAUGAAUGAAUAAAAGAAUGAAUGGAAAAAUCUAGAAAGAUGUCAGCCAUAAAUGUUGAAGGUAAUUAUUAUCUCUUUAAAUAGCUGCAUGUUCUGAUUUUUCUAUUAUAAAUAUGUAUUAGUUUUUAUAAUAGUAGUUUAAAAACGUACCUCAGAUUUCCAGGAAAUUACUGAUUUGAAACUGCAGUGGAUUUCGCCAGCUUCAUUAGUGUCAGUAGCAUUAUGGCCUCGGCCCCUGUGGAUUAGUUCUUAGAAGACUGGGUCCUUUCCAGAAGCUGGAUCAAGUCAAUGCUCCUUGGCCAAUGGGAAAGUGCCUGGUUUGUUUUCUGAGCAAAGGGCUUGUUAAAAUCACAGGGUGUUAGAGGUCACCUUGCCCAAUUUUCUUAGUUUUCAGAUGAAGAAACUGAGUCCAGGGAGGCAGCUGGCUUUGCGCAAGUCAGUGAUGAAACUGGCCUGAGAAACCAGGCCUUCUGAAUUGAAGCAUAUUUCCCCAUUCUACACUGCAAUAAGCCAGAGAUCCAGAGAAAGACUGGUGGCAUACUCACCUGGGUAACUGAAAGAAAUUUUAGAAAGGGACAGUUUAAACAGUGGUGUAGAGUUAGAAAGACCAGCAAGGGAAGUAACGUGCUCCAAGUUAUGUGAAAACAAGGAGCUGGGGCCAGCAUUGUGGCAUAGCAGGUGAGCUCUGCCUGUGACACCAGUAUCCCAUAUGGGUGCUGGUUCGUGUCCUGGCUACUCCACUUCCAAUUCAGCUCCAUGCUGGUAGUCUGGGAAAAGCAAUAGAAGAUGGCACAAAUGUUUGGGCCCCUGCCACCUACAUGGGAGACCUGGAUGAAGCUCCUGACUCCUGGCUUUGGCCUAGCACAGCCCUGGUUAUUACAGCCAUUUGGGGAGUGAAUGAGUGGAUGGAAGAUCUCUCUCUCUUUCUGUCUCUGUAACUCUGACUUUCAAAAUAAAUAAAUAAAAACAAAACAGAACAAGCAGUUGUUACCACUCACAAGCCUGAACAGGGCACAGAUGGGAGCCACUGCAGAACCCACAAAGGGCAAUGGUGGGGAGAAGGUUAAUGGCAGGCACUGGGACCUUCAAGACGGAGACACAGUCAUCUGCAAUGACCCAGUAGCAAAAGCCUAAACAGCCAGAGGGCUGAGGGAAUCAAAGUCCAGACUCAUUCUUAUCCCAAUUGGAAGACAAAGUCAAAGGUGUUUGUUGAUGCAGUUCAAAGUCAUCAGGUGCCAGAGUGUAGGGCAGAGUAAGGAAGGAUAGAGAUGGGGUCUGGAGGGACCAGUGGAAAACACCCAGCCCACCUGCCUUCUAGAAGAGAAACCCAGUCCUAUCUCUGCCCUCACUUCAGCUUCCAGUCCGUAAAAACCUGGACAAUUGAGGUGACAUUAGAAAAAAUUCUCAUUAUACAGGUAAUACAUAUUUAUAAUAGAAUAAAACAGAACAUGCAGCUAUUUAAGGAAAGGAUCAUUACUUUCGACAUUUAUGAUUGAAACCUUUCUAGGCUUUUCUAAUCAUUCAUUCAUUCAUUCAAUUCUGCCAAAAAAUGUUUAUUGAAUUUCAGUGUGUGCCAGCUGUUUUAGACACACAAAACAGGAGUAAAAGAGAUAUAGACAAAUAUUCCUUCCUUCAAGGAGCUAACACUUUAGUGGGGGAAGAGUCACAAUAAACAGAAAUAGCCAGAAUGAUAGAAUGUGAGAUGGGGAUUUGGCUUUAAGAAGAAAAAGAAAGCAGGAGGGAAGAAUAAGAGUGUUGUCGGGGGAACUGGAAUUUAAAUAAGGCAACCAGGGAGAAAUUUGUGUGGUGGAAGCGGGGAGAGGGAGAGAGGGAGACAGAGAGAGACAGAGAGAGAGCAUGGCUGACCAUUUGAGGGCUUUUCCUCGGCUAAUCGCUGAGUGUACAGGUAAUGGGGAGUGUGGGUGGUGUGACUUCCCCCCUCCCUCGCAGUUUCAAAAUAUCUCUCUUUAGACUCUUUUAAAGGGCAAAGCUUUCUCCAUUCCUAUACCAACUAUUAAAAAAUGCCACUGUGACUCCUCAGUGCAAGCUCCUUAGCCAAAUUUUUGGUGUGUCUCUGUCUCCUUCUAGCCGGGUAACUUGAGGGAAGUCAUCUAACCUUUGUAAGCUCCAGUCAUCUCCUGUGUGAAAAUAAGGGUUUGGGUGAUAAUGAAAUAAGAUUAGCUCUGGGAGGGACCUACUGCCCAGCACAUAGUUGGUGUUCCAAAGAUGGCAGCUACCUUCCUUCUUAGGGCAGGUAUGUUCUGAUACAGCUCUGGUCCUGAGAUCCACAUAUCAGGGGAGUUGGCUGAGCAGUCUAAUAAUACUAGUAGCUGGCACCAACUGACUACCUAUUAUGCCAGGCAUACCAUUUCCAUGUGUUAUCUCAUUAAAUCUUCACAUUUUAAGAUAAGGAGGACCACUCAAAGACCAGUCCAUCAGCUGUAGAAUCUUCCAGUCUGCAGUUUCUACAAGUGUAUUAUGAGACACCUUCUCAAAUGCUUUGCCAAGAGGUACACAUUGGGCAUAGUGUUUAAGACACUGCUUGAGAUGCUUGAAACCUGUAUCAGAAUGCCUGGGAUCAAGUCUUGACUCUUCCAAUUCCAGCUUCCUGUUAAUGUGGACCCUGAGAAGCAGGAGGUGAUGGCUUAAGUAGUUACCACCCAUAUGGGAGACCUGGAUUGAGUUGCUGGCUCCAGGCUUCAGUGUGUCCAAAGUGGCUGUUAUAAGCAUUUGGGGGGUGAACCUGAAGAUGAGAGAUUUCUCUCUGUCUCUGGCUCUCUAUCUUUCAAACCAAAACAAUAUAAAUAAAAAGCUUUGCUAAAAUCAAGACAUCCAAUGUCUGUGAUGAUUUUUUCACUAAACAUUCAUAAGCUCUAUCAAAACUAAAGUGCUAUUGGUUGACAUAACUAUCAGUAAACCCAUAGUAGCUGACCAUGAUUAACAACUUGUUUUCUUUUUUAAGAUUUUAUUUAUUUAUUUGAAAGGUAGAGCUACACACAGAGAGAGGAAGAGACACAGAGAAAGGUCUUCCAUCUGCUGGUUCACUCCACAAAUGACCAUAAUAGCCAGAGGUGAGCUGAUCUGAAGCCAAGAGCCAGGAGUCUCUUCUGAGUUUCCCACAGGGGCACAGGUGCCCAAGGAUUUGGGUCAUCUUCCACUGCUUGCCCAGGCCACAAAUGGAGAGCUGGAUUGGAAGAGGAGCAGUUGGGACACAAACCGGCACCCAUGUGAGAUGCUGGUGCCCCAGGCAAAGGCUAUGCCCACGACAACAUAGUGCUGGCCUCUAGCAACCUCUUUUAUAAGGAUCGAGGGGCCUUUUGGGUAGGUUUCUACAAAUGUGGGGUGGAAUAUGGGGCUCACAUUGAUCUACUGUAACAACAGUUUGGGCUUCAUCUGGUGUCACUCGGGCUUUGACAUUUUUCUCAAGAACAAGGUCUCUGAUUAUCAGUAUCUUUAGGGAUUUUGGAGGACAUGUUGUAGGAGGAAAGUGCCGGAUUAAAUCUAACAUGGUGGUCUUCAAGUUGUACAUUUAUCGAUUUCAAUGAUGGUAAAGACAGGAGGAAGCUAUGCAGUCACUCAUGUUAAAUGCAGAUCACUUAAUUGGCCUUUGUUGGAAAUCUCAGACACAUAUUCAUCCUCUCCUUCUCUUGACAGCACUAAAUGAAUGGUUCUCUCCCCACCUCCAUCACAGAAAAUAGGGAGUCCAGGGCUUUUGGUUUGUUUAUUUUUAAAAUUUGUUUAUCUUUUUUAUUUCAUUUUUGGAAGAGUCCAUCUUUUCUUACAUUUGCGCCCUGUGAUCUCUAAAUUCCCCAGUCAAUACUGCGAGAGUGAAUUUUAGUCUCGUAAGGAGGUGACUUAGUCUGAUCUGUACAUUACCUUGUUAUCUUAAGGUUCCUGUUUCCAGACAGUUUUGUGAAACCUCUCAUUUGGCUUGCUUAUCUUAUUUGCAUGAGACCUUAUUCAUAAAAAUCAGCAUUUUCAAAAAUUAUGGUAUUAAUGUCACCUUGAAGAAUUAUUCUUUGCUUUAGUAGAGGAUUCUCUAUAGGAUCUAUUGAGUAAUGAACAUAGCCAAGAAACUAUAUUUCACUCCAUGCUCUUAUUUUCAUAACUAUGGGUAUACUGUAUGCUACUCUAUAUACAUGGAGAGAUUCAGUCUUAUCAUUUAUUAGUAACUUUCCUUACUCAUAGAUUAGCAAACUCAUAUGUUCUCUGCUCUUCCUAUAAAUUACUAUUUUUGUUAUUUUUCGGAGUGUUACUUUUUAAAGUUUGUUAAUUAGAGAGAGAGAGAGAUCAGUCUUCCAUCUUCCACUAAAACUCUAGAUGCUUGCAACAACCAGAGCUAGGCCAAGCUGGAGCCAGGAGCCUGGAACUUAAUCUGGGUCUCCACAUGGGUGGCCGAGAUUCAAGCACUUGAGCUGUUACCUGCUGCCUCCCAGGGUGUGCAAUAUCAGGAAGCUGGAGUUGGGCAUGGAACCAGGACUUGAACAGAGGAACUCCAAUAUGGGAUGUAGGCAUUCUGAGCAAUAUCCUAACUGCUGUGCCAAAUGCCCACCUCCUAAGAAUUUUUUUUUUUAUCAUUGAAGAACAUAUAAAAGUGCUGAAGAAUAAUAAUGAUAGUAUCAUAUAUUGAGUAUAUUUGUGUCAAGUACUGCUCUCUAAAUGUCAUAAAUGUAUUGAUAUUAAAAUGAUAUAUUAAAUUAUAGCAUUAAGAUGUAAUUGUUAUUCUCUAUUAUAUUUUUAAAGAGAAAAAGACAGUCAAGUAGACAAACAAAAUGAAGGAGGGAGAGAGAGAAAGAGAUGAAGACCAAGUUCCCCUCUGCUGGUUCACUUCCCAAAUGCCCACAACAGCCAAGACUAGGCCCCGGCUGAAGCCAGGAGCCAGGAACUCAAUCCAUGUCUCCUACAUGGGUGGCAGGAACUUGAGCCAUAAUCACUGCCUCCCAGAGUUUGUAAUAGCAGGAAACUAGAAUUGAGAGCUGAUGCUAAUAUUGUAUCCACACACUCGCAUAUGGGAUACAUGUAUCUUAACCAGCAUCUGAAACACUAGGCCAAAUGCCUGCCUGUCUUUUAUUAUUGCCGCUUUGGUUUGCUUCCUCAAAUAUCACCCGCAAUUAUAAAGCUCAAAGAAGACCACUUUUUUCCUCCUCUCGGAUAAAAAGAAUUCUAAUAUGUUAACAUAGUAUUUCUUUUUGUCCUUUUGGUUUUCUAAGGUAACUUGGGGUACAACUGUAUGAAUUAACGCUUUCUGUUCAAGUUGGAAACUUUUAUUCAGAGUUAUGUUACUAGGCUCAUAGUAGGCUUUAAAGAUGACAGAGAGCCACUAAAUUCAUCCUUUUGUUCAUUCUCAUGGCAGGAAUCUAUUGAGCCCUUUCUCAAUGCCAGGCACUACUCAUACUCUUUUUUUCCCUUUUUUUUUUUUAAGAUUUAUUUAUUUAUUUGAAAGAGUUACACAGAGAGAGAAGGAGAGGCAGAGAGAGAGAGAGAGAGAGAGAGAGAGAGAGAGAGAUCUUCCAUCUGCUGGUUCACUCCCGAAAUGGCUGCAACAGCUGAAGCCGCGCUGAUGCAAAGCCAGGAGCUAGGAGCUUCUUCUGGGUCUCCAAGAGGGUGCAGGGGCUCAAGGACUUGGGUCAUGUUCUACUGCUUUCCCAGGCCAUAGCAAAGAGCUGGAUCAGAAGUGGAGCAGCCGGGACACGAGCCAGCGCCCACAUGGAAUGCUGGCACUGCAGGUGGUGGCUUUACCCACUAUGCCAGUCGGCCCCAACUGCUCACACUCUUUAGAGUCCUCUGUAGCGUCCACCACAAUGAAUUACUUAAGUGCAGGUUCCUCUCAAGCCACUGGACAGAUGCCCAGAUGCAUCUUGAAGUAGGUUCCACCUGCCCAGUACAUGCAACUUCUUUCCUGAAGCUCUCUUACUCUUAUUUGAGCACUAGUCUCAGGGACUAACCCAGUUUUUAUUAGAAUAGUUCAUGUUCUGCUGCUUGGUCUGGAUCCAAGUCUUUUGGUGGCACAAAUCCACAUCAGCAUUUAAUACCCCACCCCUGCUCCUGGAACAUUCUUUCCACUAAGAGGAUCCUUUUUGACUCUUGCCCUUGAACUACCCAGUCACUGAGACAGGGGAUUUUACCCAGAGGCCGCGAUGGUUAUCUGACCUAGUGUAGACAUUGACUAAACAAUGAUGCUCUCACCCAUCCAGGGGUCAUGACCCUGUCUUCCAAGCUCUUUCUUCCAAACUGGGCAGAAAGUCCAGCCUUGUGAUUUCUCUGAAAUAACUUAAAAUAUUGUAGCUCUCCGGUUGCCAUCUACUUCCCCUUGACCCAGUGCCUGCAACUUGAUUUGUAGGGGACAAUUCUUGUAAAACGAUGUCCUACUUAGGCUCCUUCCUAAAUGUAGGUUCGAUAUCCAGCUGUCAUGGAAAUUAUUGGGUGAUGGAGGAAACAAAACCUCAGAGCAGCCCUAACAGCAGCUGUCAAGGCCACACACUAAUGCCUGUGCUGUUUUCUCCGCUGAACACACAGCUGGGCCCAGUGUGUUCUCUUUGUAUUGCUGCUGUAACAAUCACUCCAAGCUUAGCAGUUAAGAACAAUACAAAUGUAUUGUCUUAAAGGCUGGGAGGUUUGAAAUGGGUCUCACUGGGCUAAGAUUCUUUCUACAGGAUUUGCAAGAGAGAAUCUGUUCUGUGCCUUUUCCAGAUUCUAGCUUCUCACUGUCCAGCUUCCUUUACCUGUGACCCUCUUGCAUCUUCAAAACCAGCAAUGGCUGGGCUGGCACUGCGGCUCACUAGGCUAAUCCUCUGCCUACGGCUCUGGUACCCUGGGUUCUAGUCCUGGUUGGGGCGCCGGAUUCUGUCCCAGUUGCUCCUCUUGCAGUCCAGCUCUCUGCUGUGCCCCGGGAAGGCAGUGGAGGAUGGCUCUCAUUCAGGGGCCCUGCACUGCAUGGGAGACCAGGAGGAGGCACCUGGCUCCUGGCUUCGGAUGGGCACAGCACCGGAUGUAGUGGCCAUUUGGGGGGUGAACCAAUGGAAGGAAGACCUUUUUCUCUGUCUCUUUCUCACUGUCUAACUCUGCCUGUCAAAAAAAAAAAAGAAAAAGAAAA